rnacentral:rRNA from 1 species
CCUACGGGAGGCAGCAGUGAGGAAUAUUGGUCAAUGGACGAGAGUCUGAACCAGCCAAGUAGCGUGAAGGAUGACUGCCCUAUGGGUUGUAAACUUCUUUUAUAUAGGAAUAAAAUGAUGCACGUGUGCCUUUUUGUAUGUACUAUAUGAAUAAGGAUCGGCUAACUCCGUGCCAGCAGCCGCGGUAAUACGGAGGAUCCGAGCGUUAUCCGGAUUUAUUGGGUUUAAAGGGAGCGUAGGUGGGUUGUUAAGUCAGUUGUGAAAGUUUGCGGCUCAACCGUAAAAUUGCAAUUGAUACUGGCAGUCUUGAGUACAGUAGAGGUAGGCGGAAUUCGUGGUGUAGCGGUGAAAUGCUUAGAUAUCACGAAGAACCCCGAUUGCGAAGGCAGCUUACUAAACUGUAACUGACAUUGAGGCUCGAAAGUGUGGGUAUCAAACAGGAUUAGAUACCCCAGUAGUC